AGCUGGAGACCCUCUGGGCCUUGGGAGCUCAGGCUGCCUGGGCAACGCAAGGGAGGACAGGGGCGGAGGGGGAGCCAGGAGGGCCGCACCUGCCUCGCUCGCUGGUCGCCCUCGCUCUGGGAUCCGUCCUGCCGGUCCCAGGCUGUUGAGGGCGCCUCCUCAGAGUCCCUGUGGCCCCCGCAGCUUCCCCGGAAGAAACCUGUGCAUCCAUCGGCUAGCCCAAGCCCAAGCUCCGCCCGGAGCUCCCCGAGCCGGGGCCAGGCCUCCGCCCCUCGGUGCCCGCGCCUGGGCUCCUCCCGCUGCGGGCCGCCCGCCUGGACGCAAGGCACAGGGGGACGCCCCGCCGAGCCGCUGCCCACUGCACCGAGUUUUUCGGAGGCUGGGAGAGGAAAUGCCACUUGGAUUUUAAAACCGUCACCGAUACGCUAUAGGUGAAUAUUUCGCUGGGAUUUUAAAGAGACGAGCUUCAGCCUGCUAAGCCGCGCUCACGCCGCCUCUCCGCCCUGGCCUCCCCGCGUCCGGCUUGGGGCCGGGUCCCUCCCGGGUCAAAGCUACGCCGGGUGCACUGCGGGCUGGGUAGCUCUCCCACUACGCCCAAAGCCCAGGCGGCCGGGACCGCCGUCCCAAAGUCACAAACCACACCCGUGAAGGACGCCCUCCGCAAGACAGAGAGGAGGCUGGGCCUGGGAAGGAACCUCCGGCCCUUCCUCACCGUGCAGCCAAGCCCUGCUUUCUCUACCUCCAGUCGUUUUCUGAGGACCGGCUUGGUGGGUGCUGAUGCCUGCCUGGAAGACCUCACACCCACAGUGUCUUAGAAGAUUCUGAAAGCAGUGUGAGACCAGAAUGACCAGCAAAGGAGAAAAGAACAAGGACGCAUUGCAGCCAAAAUGGAGCUAGAAUCUUGCCUCUGUCCAUCCUUCACUGGAGUUAUCCUGGAUGGAGAAGGAACCAUAUCACCUGCAAAGCCUGGAAGGGGAGCCCUGCUGUGAGGUCUUUCUCAGGUGAGGCCCCAGGCUGUGACCAGGCCCCUGCCCUGCAUGUGACUCAGGCCUAGCCCCUGCUGGGGCAGGAAUGCCACCCAGCACAGCAUCCUACUGGUGCCUGAAUAAAGAAUGGACUGGAGGUUCACCUGAAAGGGGCUGCCAGGUUUCUGUGGGGGCCAGCCAACGGCUCAUAAUGACCCUGUGUUCAACUCAUCUUACGAUGAAAUUUUUCAGCUUGACGAACUUUUACUCAUCUUUCAAGGCUCGGCUCAAAUGUUAUUUCCCUGGGAAAACUGCGCUACUUUCAGCAAAAUGCAUUUCCUUUUGAUGGGCAUCUGUUUCUUUCUUUCUUUCUUUCUUUUUUUUUUUUUUUUUGAGACAGGGUCUCACUCUCUUGUCCAGGCUGGAGUGCAGUGGUGCAAUCUUGGCUCACUGAACCUUCACAAUGGGCAUCUCUUUCUGUUCUAUGGAGUGACCUAAAAGUCAAGAAUCAUGGAGAAAUUGGGAGCAAUGGCUCACGCCUGUAAAUCCCAGCACUUUGGGAGGCUGAGGCAGGCGGAUCACUUGAGGCCAGGAGUUCGAGACCAGCCUGGCCAACAUGGUGAAACCCUGUCUCUACUAAAAAUACAAAAAAAAAAAAUCUGGUAGCUGAGCAUUGUGGCGUGCGCCUGUUAUCCCAGCUACUUGGGAGGUUGAGGCACAAGAAUUGCUUGAAGCUGGGAGGGGGAGGUUGCGGUGAGCCGAGAUCAAGCCACUGCACUCCAGCCUUGGUGACAGAGUGAAACUGUGUCUCAAAAAUUAAAAAAAAAAAAAAAAUCACAGGGAGAGUUUAUUGUUAAACAGAAUAUUAGUUACAUUUUCAAAUAAUAUAGUCAAUAUGUUUUUCUGUAACCUUUAGAUAUGUUUUCAGGUGAAGUACCUCUAAAUGUAAAGAAAUGGGUCCAAUUGUUAAUUUUUUUUAAAGGUUCAAGAAAUACACUACUUUCUCUGGCUUUUUCCUUACAACUCUUUUUUUUUUUUUUUUUUUUUUUUGAGAUGAAGUCUUGCUCUGUCACCCAGGCUGGAGUGCAGUGGCAUGAUCUCAGCCCACUGCAACCUCCACCUCCCAGGUUCAAGCGAUUCUCCUGCCUCAGCCUCCUGAGUAGCUGGGAUUACAGGCACACGUCACCACACCCGGCUAAUUUUUGUAUUUUUAGUAGAGACAGGAUUUUGCCAUGUUGGCCAGGCUUGUCUCAAACUCCUGACUUCAGGUCAUCCGCCUGCCUUAGCCUCUCAAAGUGCUGGGAUUAUAGGCUUGAGCCACUGUGCCCUGGCCUCUUGUACCUUUUUUACAUUAACAACUGCACUCACUUUAAAUGUAGAGAUACUUCCUGAAAUGGUGUGUGAAGGUUGAAGAAAAACAUGAGCAUAUUAUUUGAAAAUGUGGCUAAAGUUCUGUUUUAAAGUAAGUUUAUGGUAAUAUUUCUAACUUUUCAGAUGCUCUGUAGUUCUUGGCACAUUUUUCACUAAUAUUUGGUGACAGGUCUGUCCCUGUUAAAAAUUGAGAAUUCCACAAAGCCUGGGAUAUGUUUUAUUCUUCUUUGACUCUUCACUCCCCAGCUAACCACCAUGCAGUGGGCAAUCAUAAGGGUUUAAUGAAUGAAUAAAUGAUCAAGUCAGGUAGGUUUUCCCCGAAUUCUUGUCUUUGGGGCUGAACCCAGGGUAGGUUUCCUGGCAUCAUUCCUGUGUUUUCUACUCUCCCUCCCUAAUCCUCUGAAAGUUUGAACAAAAAUAAGAUUAUGGGCCAGGUGUGGUGGCUCACGCCUGUAAUCCCAGCACUUUGGGAGGCUGAGGUGGGAGGAUGGCUUGAGCCCAGGGGUUUGAGACUAGCCUGGGCAACAUGGCGAAAUCCCGUCUCUACAAAAAAUAGAAAAAUUAUCUGGGUGUGGUGGUGCGCACCUGUAGUCCCAGCUACUCGGGAAGCUGAGGUGGGAGGAUCACCUGAGCCCGAGGAGGUCCAGGCUGCAGUGAACCAAGAUCACAUCACUACACUCCAGCCUGAGUGACAGAGUGAGACCCUGUCUCAAAAAAUAAAAAUAAAAAUAAAGAAAUAAGAUUAUGACCAAGAGCCGUAUGUCUCAGAUGUUGAAGGGCAAUAUACCUGUGCUUCAGAAAAAUCUGCCCUGUGUGCCAAAAUGUGCAGAAAGGAGAGCCAGCUUCUCAGCUGGCCCCAUGCCCCACUACUAACUACUCCCACGGCCUCGGCGAGUUAUUUCUUCUUUUUUUUUAAAUUAUACUUUAAGUUCUAGAUGUGAACAACGUGCAGGUUUGUUACAUAGGUAUACAUGUGCCAUGUUGGUUUGCUGCACCUAUCAACUCGUCAUUUACAUUAGAUAUUCUCCUAAUGCUAUCCCUCCUCCAGCCCCCUGACCCCGCGACAGGCCCUGGUGUGUGAUGUUCCCCGCCCUGUGUUCAUGUGUUCUCAUUGUUCAACUCUCAGGGAGUUAUUUCUGAGUUACUCCUGAGUCUGGGCUGGUAGACACCAGGGGGACAGGGCACACACAUUUGCAAGUUUCCUAUUCAGGCCAUGCUGUCCAGGCAGCCAGAAUGAAGCCCAGCCAGAGCCAAAAGGCUUUCCUGGAGGUGUGUUUGUCAGUUUGGCAACCCUCGGUGUGCCCAGCCCACACGCUGUGAGCAUUCGCCUAUGACGUACUUUGCGUGGAUCAAAGGCCCCACAAAGCCUGCCGUGCCUGCAGCUGCCACGCUGGGGACAUGCUGGGGACGUGGGCGAUCGUGGGCUGAGAGGCAGACUGCUGGGCUGCCGCCUCCCAUGGCAGCUUUCUCCCAUGGGAGGGAGUUCACCUUGCGGCUUCCAAACUCAGCCGGGCCGCCCCUAGGCAUGUCACCUCUUCUCUUUUUCUCUCUGUUGUCCCAUGAUUUGGGUCCUCAGGACCUCUCACCUGGACCCAGGGAUAAACGAGAUCCACUAUCAGAGCCAAUGGCAGCAUCGGCAGCACUCUAGAGCUAUUUCUACUUGAUUCUAAACCUAGAUUUAUACUAUGUGUAGCCAGCUAGAAAUACAGAUCUCACUGUAGAAAAGAGACUGGAAGAAAUUACAGCAACUGUUAGCAGUGGUUUCAUCUCUGGUUUGUGAAAUUAUGGGUGAUUUAAAUUUUCUUUUUGCUUUCCCUUAUUUUCCAAGUUCUAUAGUGUAUAAGAAUAUGUAAUUUUGAAAUAAGAGAAAAUAGUCGGCCGGGCGUGGUGGCUCAUGCCUGUAAUCCCAGCACUUUAGGAGGCCCAGGCGGGCGGAUCACAAGAUCAGGAGUUCGAGACCACCCUGGCCAAUAUGGUGAAACCCCAUCUUUACCAGAAAUACAAAAAUUAGCCGGCUGUGGUGGUUGCCUGUAGUCCCAGCUACUCAGGAGGCUGAGGCAGGAGAAUCGCUUGAACCUGGGAGGCAGAGGUUGCAGUGAGCCGAGAUCACGCCACUGCACUCCAGCCUGGGCGACAGGCUCAAAAAAAAAAGGAGAAAAUAGUCAAAGUACAUUUUUGAUGCCUUGUAUUAACCUCCCUUUUGUGUCCCCCACCCUCAAACCUUAGUUGCACUUUAGGUCAAUGAAUAUCUAAAUCACUCUGCAUUCUUCAGGCACACAGCAGCAGGAGGGAGGUGUGCCUGAUAGGAUGCUGGAUUAAAGAUUGGUUCUGACCAAUUCACAGAGUAUAGGAUGCCCACAGGAGGAAAGCUGAAUAUUUAGCAUGGUGUAAGUCUCAUGGGACUUGGCCACUGUCACAGGCUAACUGAUGCCCAACCUGCAUGGAGCCCAGGCCCUCUCCCCACCUGGCUCCCUUCAAGCUUAGGAGGCUCCUCAUCCCACUCAGGGUUUAAGAUUCUCCUUUGAUAUUCUAGGACAUGGACCAAGUUGGGAUUUAGGGUUGCUCUUGGGUUACCAGCCAGCAUCCCUGAAGCCCCUCCCAAAACGUCACUGGGGCCCUGUGACCAUAGAAGAGGCCUCUGUGGGCCACACAGUGAGUCCAGCGAUGAAGCCAGACCAGUGUGGUUUAGGGAACAGGCUGCAGCAAUGGGCAGGAACUCUGGCAAAGCUGUGCCUCCUAUGGCUCUCCUCGACACAGAAGUCACAACCCAGGUUGGGGACCUAGGCGUCUCUGCAUGUGCCUGUGUAGGAGCCUGUGUGUGUAAACAAGUGUAUCUACAUACACGAGAACCCAAGGGAGAGAGCUGCACAGGGGGCCUGCCCUGGUCUAAACCAGAAAAGGAGAACUGUUCCUUUUGGGGGCCGAUCCCUGCUGGGAGAGGUGUGCCAGGGUUCCCCCCGCUGGGCCAUUUCCCCCACCUGAGUUCUCUCUACAAUGUCCAAAGAAUGGGACCAGUAAAAGGGGGCCAGGGCGAUUCUCCCACCCCCUGGAAAAGUCUGCCCUCCCUCCCUGCAGGCCUGAAGCCCUUCCGGCCCUCCUCCUCCCCUUCUCCUGUGUCAUCCUGUCUUCAGACUGAUACACUCCUUCCCUCUGGUUUUCCUCUCAGUUGUCUCUUCCUUGCAUUUCCCUCCUUAAUUCCCUCCCACCAGCCUUAUUUUUUUCUCCAUCAUCUGUGCUUGCUCUUCCAUCUUUACUCUUGAUAGCCUCAUUGCCUGUCUCCUCAGAUAGCCUUGGGUGCCAGGUUACCUGGCAUCCCUGGCCCUAAGAAUUUGGGGACUGCUUCUUUUGCUUGAUCCAGCUCUCUCUGGAGGAUGGGCAGUCGCCGGGCCAUCCCAGGAACCCUUCCUGGGUUCUGUGUGUGGCUUUUCUGCGUUGCCACUGAGCAUGGGUUGCUCUCGGCUGGUUAGCAUAGGAGGUCACACUAACUGUUCUGGUGCAGGAAUUGUCCAGGGAAUUGCAGUCAAGGCUGCAACAUGACCUAUAGCCUGGGGCCAGCAAGCCUUUCUUAGUCUCCAGGCAGGCCAGGUACAGACAGCAAACUCAGAAACCCACGAUUACAUUGGCUGUCCUUUAUAUUAGCACACCAGGAUGCACCCAAUUAGCAGUGCUCAUUCCUGCCUCCCUUCUGACUUCAAAUACCUAAAGCCCCUCAUAUCUGGAAGCAGAGACCUGAAAAAGUCAUCAUUUCUUUUUUUAAAAGGAGAAAGGGAGAGGGAGGCUAACACACAUACACUUAUUCACAAAAAAUAAAAGAUGGUUUCAUGGAGUUAGUCUGCUGGGAUAUUUAGAAUCUAGGUUUGCAACUUGCAUCUCCUUUCUCUUGAUCCUACAUUUCAGCCUCCAAUUUAGUGGGAACUUGAACUGAACUGUGCUAAUUUAUUACUUGGACACCAAAGAGUCAUUAUUUUGUGGAGGAAAAUCAACUUUGAACAUUCAAGAAAAAAGACCCCAUUGCAAUGAUUGGUUAGAAUUUGAUCUGGAUCUACAUAGAUUCAUUUUCUAAAACUAUUCAAUUAAGGAUAAUGUCAACCUAUUGCCUGAAUUUAAAUCAGCGAUUCAUUCGGCUAAUGAAUUUUCCUUUUUCUGUGAGUACCAUGUCCUACGAAUUUACAGGGGAUGGUCAGAGAAAUGGUGACAAAGAAAAGGAGGUUUGUUUGUUUUUAAUGUUUUGUUUGCUGACUUAAAAAGCACACAGCCCUGGAAAUGGCCUUCUCAUUACUUGCGACAAUAAAACAUCCCAGAAAUCCUGACACUGGCUAAUAAGACACAUGCCUUUAAUGACAGCCUCAAAAAGAAGCCCCUACGGUGGAAAGUGUUGUGUGUUUGAUUGCGCUAGUUUUACCAUGGAAUGUGCCAGUUGUGGCUGGAAGUAAUUGUCUUUUCAGUGGACAACAAUAAAACUGUUUUUAAGUUCUCUUCCUUAGUGAAGCCUAAUUUAUAAAUGGAAAUAAGAAGUUUCUAAUUUCCCC